AUAUAUUAAAAUUAAUAUGGUUUAUAAGUAGAUUGUGAUAGUAAU
rnacentral:guide_RNA from 1 species